rnacentral:tRNA from 1 species
GUCCCUAUAGUUCAACGGAUAGAAUGCGGCCCUCCGGAGGCUGAGAUUCGGGUUCAAAUCCCGGUAGGGACA